rnacentral:rRNA from 1 species
AACUCCCCAACCCCUGUGACAUACCACUUGUUGCCUCGGCGGAUCAGCCCGCUCCCGGUAAAACGGGACGGCCCGCCAGAGGACCCCUAAACUCUGUUUCUAUAUGUAACUUCUGAGUAAAACCAUAAAUAAAUCAAAACUUUCAACAACGGAUCUCUUGGUUCUGGCAUCGAUGAAGAACGCAGCAAAAUGCGAUAAGUAAUGUGAAUUGCAGAAUUCAGUGAAUCAUCGAAUCUUUGAACGCACAUUGCGCCCGCCAGUAUUCUGGCGGGCAUGCCUGUUCGAGCGUCAUUUCAACCCUCAAGCACAGCUUGGUGUUGGGACUCGCGUUAAUUCGCGUUCCUCAAAUUGAUUGGCGGUCACGUCGAGCUUCCAUAGCGUAGUAGUAAAACCCUCGUUACUGGUAAUCGUCGCGGCCACGCCGUUAAACCCCAACUUCUGAAUGUUGACCUCGGAUCAGGUAGGAAUACCCGCUGAACUUAAGCAUAUCAUAAGGCGGAGGAA